rnacentral:lncRNA from 1 species
CCGACGGUUGUUUUUUCCCUCGGCGUAAUGAUUCCAGCAGGUGCUUUUCCUGCUCGAGAGCCGAAAAUAGAGCCCAGGGUUUGGCUUCCUUCGGUUCCCGUCCUUUCGGUUCCCGGAAACCCAUUCCAUUGCAAUCUGUGGGUGUUUGGAUAGAGGAAAAUCCAUCCUAGAGAUAGAUUUUUUACCUGGGCUAUACCAGCCCUGCUUGCCCUCAGUGUCCACCCCAUCAGGAGCCCCAGGUCCGUGCCUUGGAGUGGUUUAUCCCUUGUAUUUCCCUUGCAGGAGGUGCUCUUGCCUGGCGCCAGUGUCACUUCUGGUCCCUUUGGCCCCAUCGACUUUAUUGCUUUUGAGGACGGAAGCUGUAACACGCUGUAAUAUUUUGGGAAGGCAGAGCAGACGUGAGAUCAGGUUUCACCUCUUUCAUCCCCGCAGAAAAACACAAAGGACGGGGGUCUGGGGGGAGCUUCCUUCCCCUGCCCUGUCCCCACGCUCCACCCAUAGAGAUGGACUCCAGCAAACACAGCUUUGGCUGGAGCUCCUGGUGGGGAAUAUCUGCUGCCCUCCUGCACUCAGUGCUGGGAUCUGCCUGUAUGGAGUGGAAGGAACUGUUGGGGAUAACCCCACUCAUGGUCCCAACUUGCACGCCCAGGCAUGGAGGAAAUUAAAGCUCAUUCUCACAGAUGCCUUCAAAAUGCAUCUGAGGUCUCUGCUCUGCAAUCUCCCCACAUCACAUAGCAUCACAUCCCAUCUCAUCCCCAAAUCCCAUCCCAUCUUACCCCCAAAUCCCAUCCUAUCCCAUCUUACCCCAAAUCCCACCCCAUCUUACCCCCAGGCCCCGUCCCACAAUGGUGGUGAGCUCUGAGUAAUGCAUUUACCACCUCCCAAGGCACAAAUUCAGCCCCAAACCCUCCCAGCCCAUAGCAAAGAAAGACAGGAGAAACCCCAGAGACUUCUUAUGGGAACGUCACUACCAAACAGUGCGGUGUUGUUCCAUGCAGUGCAACAAUCCCAAGU